rnacentral:rRNA from 1 species
UAGUGGGGGAUAGCCCGGCAAACGCCGGAUUAAUACCGCAUACCCUCUACGGAGGAAAGGGGGGGAUCUUCAGACCUCUCGCUACAGGGGCGGCCGAUGGCAGAUUAGCUCCUUGGUGGGGUAAACGCCUACCAAGGCGACCAUCUGUACCUGGUCUGAAAGGACAACCAACCACACUGGGACUGAGACACCGCCCAGACUCCUACGGGAGGCAGCAGUGGGGAAUUUUGGACAAUGGGGGCAACCCUGAUCCGGCAAUGCCGCGUGUGUGAAAAAGGCCUUCGGGUUGUAAAGCACUUUUGUCCGGAAAGAAAACCUCCGCCCUAAUACGGUGGGGGGAUGACGGUCCCGGAAGAAUAACAACCGGCGAACUAUCUGUCACCAACCCCGGUAAUACGUAGGGUGCAGGCUUAUAUCGGAAUUACGCGGCGUAAAGCGCUCGCGUCCGGUACGCUCACACAGAUGUGAAAUCCCCGGGCUUGAACUGCAAACUGCAUUUGUGACUAGAGGAGGCAGAGAUGGCAGAUUUCCAUAUAAUUCAGUGAAAUGCGUAGAGAUGUGGAGGAAUACGGAGGGAUACCGAUGCCCCCUGGAGCCAUCUUGACGAUCAUGCACGAAAGCGUGGGGAGCAAACAGGAUUAGAUACCCUUAGAUACCACGCCAAUAACGAUGUCAACUAGUUGUCGGGUCUUCAUUGACUUGGUAACGUAGCUAACGCGUGAAGUUGACCGCUUGGGGAGUACGGUCGCAAGAUUAAAACUCAAAGGAAUUGACGGGCACCCGCACAAGCGGUGGAUGAUGUGGAUUACUUCGAUUCAACGCGAAAAACGUUACGUACCACCCUCAUGGCCGGAACCCUGCUGAAAGGCGGGGGUGCUCGAAAGAGCACCGGUACACAGGUGCUGCAUGGCUGUCGUCAGCUCGUGUCGUGAGAUGUUGGGUUAAGUCCCGCAACGAGCGCAACCCUUGUCCCUAGUUGCUACGCAAGAGCACUGUAGGGAGACCGCCGGUGACAAACCGGAGGAAGGUGGGGAUGACGUCAAGUCCUCAUGGCCCUUAUGGGUAGG